rnacentral:rRNA from 1 species
CAAUAGCGUAUAUUAAAGUUGUUGCAGUUAAAAAGCUCGUAGUUGGAUUUCUGGGAGGGUGCCAAUGUCCGUCGUCGUACGUGUUGCAGCGGCGCCCUUCCAUCCUUCUGUUAACGACUUUGGGCAUUCAUUUGCCGGAGUCGGGCUCAGAUAUUUUUACCUUUGAGAAAAUUAGAGUGUUUCAGGCAGGCUAGGCCGGAAUACAUUAGCAUGGAAUAAUGGAAUAGGACUACGGUCUCUUUGUUGGUUUGAGGGACUGCAGUAAUGAUUAAUAGGGAUAGUUGGGGGGCAUUAGUAUUUAAUUGUCAGAGGUGGAAUUCUCGGAUUUGUUAAAGACUAACUACUGCGAAAGCAUUCGCCAAGGAUGUUUUCAUUAAUCAGGGAACGAAAGUUAGGGGAUCGAAGAUGAUUAGAU